GUGAGGGCGACCGAGCGUGGGAAGGAAGCGUGGAGCAUAAGCUGCGAGCCGAUGGACAAGAAUCGGAUAGAAGGCGCUGCCGAGCAGGGCGAGCGGGCAAGAAGCCGCGAAGCUCUCGUGAUCAAGGCGAAGUGGCGUAAAUCCGGCGGUUGUGCAGCGAAGGAGUGCGUUC
rfam:Thauera sp. 63 Cont6, whole genome shotgun sequence.